UACGGAGGGUGCGAGCGUUAUCCGGAAUUACUGGGUUUAAAGGGUGCGUAGGCUGCUAUGUAAGUCAGGAGUGAAAGUUUGCGGCUCAACCGUAAAAUUGCUUUUGAUACUGCAUGGCUAGAAUCAGGAUGAGGUUAGCGGAAUGUGGCAUGUAGCGGUGAAAUGCAUAGAUAUGCCAUAGAACACCAAUUGCGAAGGCAGCUGGCUAGACCUGCAUUGACGCUGAGGCACGAAAGCGUGGGGAGCGAACAGG
rnacentral:rRNA from 1 species